AACGAACGCUGGCGGCGUGUUUAAGACAUGCAAGUCGAACGGGGUGAUUGUUGUAGUAAUACACCGGUCACCUAGUGGCGCACGGGUGAGUAACACGUGAAUUACAUGCCCUUGAGUGGGGGAUGGCCCGCCGAAAGGUGGAUUAAUACCCCAUGGUAUCUUACGAUUAAAGGUGGCUUCGGCUGCCGCUCAAGGAUUGGUUCGCGCCCUAUCAGCUAGUUGGUGAGGUAAUGGCUCACCAAGGCGACGACGGGUACCUGGUUUGAGAGGACGAUCAGGCACACUGGAACUGAGACACGGUCCAGACACCUACGGGUGGCAGCAGUCGAGAAUAAUUCACAAUGGACGAAAGUCUGAUGGUGCAACGCCGCGUGGAGGAUGACGGUCUUCGGAUUGUAAACUCCUGUCAUCAGGGAGUAAGACCUGGGUGUUAACAGCACACAGGGUUGAUAGUACCUGAAGAGGAAGGGACGGCUAACUUCGUGCCAGCAGCCGCCGUAAUAC
rnacentral:rRNA from 1 species